rnacentral:lncRNA from 1 species
GAACACUUUCAAAUCGGUAGGGGAACGAUGCCUAGCUGAACCAAUGACACCUAACAGGUCUGAGUCUCCCUUUGGUUUAGUGGUCUUGUUGCGACCAUUUUUCUUUAAAGGUUUCUUGUACUUCAUGGCAUCCCAAUACCAAAAUCAGAUCCAUGAAGAAAUCUUCACACUUAACUUACCUUGAGCCUCCCGAGAAAGCUUAUGAUACGCUCAAAACAAAUAACGGCAACUCGCAAGCAAUCCUCGGCUAUUGAGAUGAGAAAAUUCCUCCACGUUAGGAACAACCUCAUUGUAAAACUUACCCUGGAUCGGCAAACCUCUUAUAUUCUGGAGAUUCCAAAGUGAAAUCGACAUCUCCCCUUGUGACGUGUGAAGUGUGUUGGUCGUUGAACACCAAUGCUCAAAGAACGCAUAAAGGACGGAAGAAUGACGAUCAUAACUAAACAAAAAUGCGUACACAACAUGAUAAAUGCCCAUGUUGGUAAGUACAUCUUUGGAUCGGGCUCAAGAAAUCUUCAAGCCACUCCUAAUAAAACUCAACAAAGUUGACUUCUCUGGUAGUCAGCAAAGUCCUAUUCCAAGUCACAGCUCUGCUACGGACGAGAU